CCUACGGGGCGCACCAGUGGGGAAUAUUGGACAAUGGGCGAAAGCCUGAUCCAGCAAUGCCGCGUGUGUGAAGAAGGUCUUCGGAUUGUAAAGCACUUUCGACGGGACGAUGAUGACGGUACCCGUAGAAGAAGCCCCGGCUAACUUCGUGCCAGCAGCCGCGGUAAUACGAAGGGGGCUAGCGUUGCUCGGAAUGACUGGGCGUAAAGGGCGCGUAGGCGGUCUAUACAGUCAGAUGUGAAAUCCCCGGGCUUAACCUGGGAACUGCAUUUGAGACGCAUAGACUAGAGGUCGAGAGAGGGUUGUGGAAUUCCCAGUGUAGAGGUGAAAUUCGUAGAUAUUGGGAGGAACACCGGUGGCGAAGGCGGCAACCUGGCUCGAUACUGACGCUGAGGCGCGAAAGCGUGGGGAGCAAACAGGAUUAGAUACCCCCGUAGUC
rnacentral:rRNA from 1 species